UGAGACCGACGGCGAGCGUGUGCUUUAUUUCCCGUAUACAACAAACUUGUAAACCGGUUAUCCUGCCCUAAGAUGACAACGUCAACACCCUCCCUCUGGAACAGCGAGCCAGCCAAACUUCGCUUUUGGUCCUCGGUGUGCAACUGCAACAAACUGCAACCACUUAGCCUGUUGCGCCACCGCGGACAAGUGGAUAUUUCUAAAUUUGUCAAGCUAACUAUAGCUAAUUUGCUAUAGUUGCUACCGAUAACAAACUGGUAUUGCUUUAUUUUCAACCAAUGAGUUUGAAUUGUUGUACAGCUGUUCGAUGUUUUGAUAUAGAGUAACGGCCCGACAAUUGUACACUUUGAAACCCAAAUUUAAGGACUAUAAACACAGACAGGCAGAGGGUGAGUCAACAGCCCACUGUAACCUUCACUCCCUCUCAGCCUCUUCCUUUGCUACCACUGUCACCGCCUCUCUCCCCCCUCUCGAAUCCUUCUCCAAGCUCCCCACUGACUCUGCAUCUGCCACCCUCAUUUAAUCCCUCUCCUCUGCCUUUGACUCUCUCUGUCCCCUUAUCUCAAAGCCACCUCGCACAUCCCUUCCCAGUCCUUGGAUAUCUGACACCCUACGUACCUCCAGGGCCAGCCUCCGAACAGUGGAGAGGAAUUGGGGAAAAUCCAGAGACCCAUCAGACCUCACAACCUACCAGUCUUUCCUGGCAGCAUUUUCUUCUGCUGUCACUGCCGCUAAGAAAGUAUGUGGAGGGCGGGACAGGAAAGGAAGGUAGAAGAUGAGUGCCAGGAGUCACUGCCAAUGGUCGCUGCUCUAGCAAGGGUACUGGGUGGGAAUGGAAUCCCCAGUGUGGCGCAAAUAUGUCUCCCAAAAGAGAAAACAUGCCCCUCCAAUUGAACCCCCGUAUUAACUUUACUAAUACAUAGUUCACAUCAUACAAGAAAUGUUAAUGAACAGUACCCACACUGUAAUGCCAUGCAUAUGCCAUUCUAGUGCAUAUUUAUUAGGAACUGUCACAGUGUUGUACUUUGUGUUGCUAGCCACUAGGUGUCACUACAUUGAUUUUGUCUCACUGCCUAAUUGUCUUGUUGUACGCACCUGUUGUUAAGUCUUGUGAUUAGUGUUGCCCAUUGUCUCCUGUAAAUAGCCCGGUCCUUUUCACUUGGUCUUUGUUGUUAAUCUGCAAUUGACUCAGUACUUGGUGGUUUAGGGGAUUGGCUCAUAAUGGCUUCCUUGACAUUCAUUGGAACAACUCUGGCCCUCAUGUUUAAUGACAAUAAUACAAACCAAAGGCAAGAAAAAGCCUCGAAAAAUAUGAUGUUUAUUGUUACUAUAUAUAAAACACACUGUAAUUUCAAUAUGGUGAAACCAAAGUCUGUAAACAUGCCCUUCAAUAUUUGCUGAGUAACCUGAGAAUAUGCAUUUUUGAUUACAAAUCUAAAAUUGUGGAGUACAGAGCCAAAUAAAAAAAUAUGUCUUUGUCCUAAACAUUACAGAUGGGACUGUAUAUAACAUUGUAAUCUUUUUUUGUGUAUGUAAUAAAUUGCAAUCAUUGAUCUAAUGUCAGUAGUGAUGUAAUGUCAGUUCUACAUCUAAUGUAGAACUUUCCACAGAUUGUUAUACACUGCUAUUUUCACAUACAUACUACUGUACUACUUUUAUGUUGCCUCAUUGUGUAAGUGUAAAUAUGUUUAUACGGUUCUGUACUUUAAUAAGCUAUACCCUUCACCUCAGUUACAUAUUUUGCAUCUUCUAUUUGACACUCACUUUAUUAGGUAUUUAUUAGACUUAUUAGGUCUUCUGCUGCUGUAGUCUAUCCACUUAGAGGUUUGACGCAUUGUGUGUUCAGAGAUCUGUUCACUGAUGUUAUGUGCAGUAAUUUGCAUUACUGUCACCUUCCUGUCAGCUUAGACCAGUCUGGCCCUUCUCCAUUACCUCACUCAUCCUCAAGCCAUUUCCGUCCGCAGAACUGCCGAUCACUGAAUGUUUGUUUGUUUUUCGCACCAUUCUGAGUAAACUCAAGAGACUGUUGUGGAUGAAAAUCUCAGGAGAUCAGCAGUUACAGAAAUACUCGUACCUGGCACCAACAAUCAUGCCACAGUCAAAAUCACUAUUGGUUGAUAUAAACAUGAACUGGAGCUCCUGACCCAUAUCUGCAUGAUUUUAUGCAUUGCACUGCUGCCACGAUUAGGUAAUCGCAUGACUAAGUAGGUGUACAGGUGUUCCUAAUAAAGUUCUCAGUGAGUGGAUAUUUUGGCAAUUGUUGUCUGUAUCUGUGUGCAUGGAUAGUAGACAAGUUGUAAAUAUUGUUCUCCUUCAGUUGCCAUAAAAACUUUUACCCAACAUCCAA